AGCACACAACGCAAGUCAAGCACUGACUGGUCCCAAGUACUCAGAGAAGUGGAGUCAACCUCCUGUUAACAAAAGAGGAAUUCCAUCAUCUCCACUAGCUUUGCUCAUAGUGAUGCUUCCUAAGGCCCACUUGACUUCGCACUCCAGGAUGUCUGGCUCUAGCUCUCAACCACAUUCCAAGGCUCAUCACGGCAUGUACAGACCCAGGAACCUGAGUGACAGGCAACAUAAGCCGUCUUGUCAUGAAGACACCUCAGAACAUACACUGAAGCAGGCAGCACAGCUAGACCCAGGGGCUCCUAGAAACUGGAUUGGUGGAAAGGACUGGGGUGAUGGUGGUGAAAACGGUGGAGUGGAACGACUUCCUCUGGAUACAUGCCAAGCCUUCUCAAAUCUGUCUGCUAAGAUCCUGAGGGCAGAGGAGAAUGGACACCACUCCACUGCCAGCGAGGGCACAAGAGGCUCCUUCCCUGUUUUGUCUUAAAUUCAAAAUAACAAUCAGGGGAAAAUUGAUGCUCCCUUGCACCUUUGUGAAUGCAACCUGUUUGCCCCAAUCCCAAUUAGAAAAAUG
rnacentral:lncRNA from 1 species